CCUCCUCCUUCACUCAUCUAUGGCCCUUUACAUCUACUGAGGCUGUUUGUGAAGUUACCGGAAAUCUUGUUCCGUAUGAAUCUUCCAGAAAUCAAAAGAAGGAUAAUUAUCAAACACCUAGAAUUGUUUUUAGAGUAUGUCAGCAGUCAUAGUAAUGAAGUUUUCAUGGAGUCCCAUUACAUUCCCAAUCCAGACGUGUAGUUGACUUCUAUUCGUGGAUAGAUAUGAG